UCAGUUUGGUAUAGUUCAGUAACUCAGUGCUACCACUGGUUCAAAACAAUGAUUCACGAAUCACGGAUGUGUGUUAUCAGUCCGACAAUUCGCCUAUACAGCCUGCUAUGCCACAAUAUACAUAAUAUGAAAUUCUAUUAUUGUGUAAUGACAAGUGAUGUUAUGAUAUAUUAAAUAAGUAUGUCGGCAACUUGUGAUGGCAGUGAUACUAAAACGUAAAAUGCAUAGAUAAUAGAUAAUAUACUAAUAUUGAAUGAUAUAAAUGUAUAAUCGUAUUAUGUAGUACAAGCACGUUGCAAUUGUUGCAAGUCAUUUAG